AUGAUGACCCGAUCAAGAUGAUGAGGAUGCCUUCUGGGCCAUCUUCAGGCCCCUUCUUUGUGAAUUUUAUCAGAAUGCUUGGAGCUGGAGUGGUGUUUGAAGGUCUUGCUGCAGAAUUUACAUUUGACCCUGCAUUGUAAGAGGGUCACUAAUUGUUGGACUAGGUAUUGUUGCUGUUCUUAUUGCUGAACUGCCAACUUCUGAAUAAGCUCCUGCUGUUUUGUUGCCUGUUGUUGUUUCUGGGUGGCCAUUUGUUGGAACAGCUGGUACAGUUGUUGCUGCUGUUGGGCCGUCUGUUGUUGUUGGCUGUCCAACAGACACUGAAAUAAUUUUUCCAGAUCUAUCCCUUUUCCUCUUUUUUAGGCCUUACAGAAGAUCUGAGACAUUGCCUGCUCACUCUGCCAAAUUGUAAUGGGGGAUGGACUACCAGUGGUUCCAACUAGUGGUUAGGUCACUUGGUCGCGACUCUCCCGUUUCUGGCCUCCUUCACCAGCAAUCACUCCAACACUAUUGCAUCCACCUUUCACUGGUCGCUUCCCCCAGAAUGGAGUAGGCUAAGACCAGACCAGCCUGGAUGAUCCAUAGCAGGGGGUCAUAGAUGGUCAGUGUAGCUGUUUGGAGGAAUGAUCUUCUCUGCUACUCUGAGACUAUAUUUCCAAAGACCUAAAACCAACAGAAAAUGAGUCUUUAGAUGACUGCACAGAGACUUCCCAGAGACUGCUCCAAAUCUUGGGACUGGAAUCGUAUUGCUGUCUGGUGGCCCAGUCACAGACACUAAGGGGGCUGGUUCUUCCUUAAAAGAAAUCAAAGUAGCCAUGUCAUCUCAGAAUAUUGAUGAAUAAAGUUCAGAGAGAACCCCACUACCCUGAGGAACGAGCACAACAUUGACACAUCUGUUGGUGCAGGACGUUUGCAAAUUAAAUCAACCCUCGCAGCAUCAUGCCUCCUUCCCUCAGUGUCCAGUUCCACACCAAGGUUGUGGUUUGCACACCAUGUACCUUUCCCACGUUUUGCUUAACUUCUGGAGGGAGUCCUCCCCAGAGAACAACCCCUCCUGCCAUGGGUUUUGCCCUUUCCCAAAUAAUGACACACUGUACUCGAGUGAGGUAUUUUUAAGCUGCCUUGUCCAGCCUGAGAUCCUGAAGACUUUCUCCAUCUCCUUAGUCAUCUUAUCGCUGACUAACACAGUAAAGUUCACUGUUUCUGACAGCUCCGCAGGCCCUGUCGAGGACCCUAGCUGCAGCCACGUACCGAGAUUCCUAUGAGCCGAGACCCUUUAACGGCACAAGCAGGGGAUUCGCUUGUAAAGUGCCUCUGAUCAGUUUCCCUGGGACAGAUGGCUGGCCAAGCCUCUCCCUGAAACUUCAGACUUUUUUCCAGACUGCUUCUUCCCACUUUGAGGAAAGUCAGCUCCCUCCAAAUGGGAUUGUUCCUCACCACCUUGUGAGGCAAUUCCCCAGGACUACCUUCCAGUAACCUCAAAGGGUCACUAGUCCCAAUUGCCAGUUGCUUUGGGAAGGAUGGCAGCAACCUUAGCCACCCAACAGCCCAAUGUCUGCCCACAAGUCAGGCCCACCAAACUAUUCGAGCUGGUGCCUGCUUGUCCACAGAGCUAUCCCAACUGCUGAUCUCCCCUCUGUAGAAUUCCCUCCCCAAGUCGCUGGGCCGAUUGCAACCACAAUGCAAAAUAAAAGGGUAAAAUAAAUAAAAUCACUAGGUCAGGACUGACAAAGGUUUGCUACUCCUCUGCCAGUCCUGCUGCACUUGUCAGAAUCUGUUACAUUCAAACUAGUAGUCAGAGGUCAGGUACUUGAGCUGGCCUACAGUAUCUAUCACCUGUGAAGUAGAGAUGUCAGUCCCUCCCACCACCCUUUUCACUUUAAUACAGAAAAGACAAAAAGAGAUAUUUUUUGAAAACACCCAGAAGAUUUAUUAAGGAAGCAAGAAACUGCAAUUGUGGUUGCCCCAGAAAGGUAGGUGUGAAGCCUGGUCCCUCACAACUCUUUACUUCCAACAGAAUAAACCCAAUAACUUCCAACAGAAUAAACCCUAAACAAAAUACCCCAAAACUAUACUGUGUCAUGACGGAUGACCUUAUGGCUGAGAGCAGGAGGAACACCAGACCAUCCACAUACAGGAACCAGGAAAUAGCAAUGCUGGAACCAGGAUCAGCCUUUGGGGAGGACCACUGGGGAGUCCUGACAACUGAUGGACUUUGUCGCAGGUGGAGACCCCCUCUGGGAUGCUGAUCACUAGGAAAGCAGCAGGACCCUUCAUAGAGGGAUCAGUAUGGGUUUUUCCUUUUCAUGCUUUUAGUUGUCAGCGAUGAAACCACUUUUGAACUCAGUGUUUUCCAGACUUUAACUCCAGCAGGUAAAUUGUUGGGCUGGUUUUAUUGAGAAUGGUUACUGGCCCAACCCAUCUAGGACUCAGAGGAUGAUUUUUCUCUGAGAAAUACUUGAAAAAAACUUGAUCCCCCUAUGUUCCAUUCAACAUUCUUCAAGUUAUUAUUUAACCUUUGGUCUACUUUGUGGAUAUUUCCUUUCAAGUUAACCACAAAAGCUUUCUGCACCUCUGAUAUAGUAUUCAAAACUGACUUUACAUAAUUGUCCAUUACAGUUCUGGGGUGGUACUUGUCAGGGGUACCCCUCCUGGCAUCCACCAUUGUUCAGGUGUUAACAUAAGCCUUCCAAGGAGUGCUUCAUAUGGAGUAAAUCCAUGAACACUUACAGUAGAUCUAAUUGCCAUCAAAAUAAGAGGUUGAUGUCUGUCCCAGUUUUUUCCAGAUGAAUCUAUUACUUUUCUAAGCGCAGUUUUAAAGUACGGUUUGAUCUUUCUACCAAGCCAGAAGAUUGGGGGUGACCAGUUACAUGAAAUUUUUGAUGUAUUCCCAGUGCUAUGCACAGCUGCCUGGUUAAUUCUCCUGUGAAAUGCAUGCCUUGAUCUGAAUCUAUGAUCCAGGAUAAACCAAAUUGACUAAAUGCAUUUUUAAUAGCAUCUUUACUGUAGUAUUGGCAGUAUAAUUUCUGGUCAGGUACCCUUCUAUCCAUUUGGUGAAGGAGUCAAUUAACACUAAACAGUAUACAUUCCCACGACUAGUUUGGGGUAAGGGACCAAGAUGCCAUGUGAAUGAGACUGCAUGAUGCUCUCUUCAUUCUUGAGGGGCUGGAGCCUCCUUCCAGAAACGCUCUCAGGAGUCCAGGUAUAAGGACGUGUCUGGGGAGCCUCUUCAUAAGGAAAAACUAAGGGUGGAACAUUGAUGGAGAUGUCUCUGUCCCAGGGCUGGGAUCCAGGGACGGGGGAAGCUCUCAUAGCUCUGGCUAUGCAUUAGAGAUCCUAUUUCUCUCCCAAGAGACCCCCAUGCCCCAAG